CAGGGCUCCGGGACGCUCUGAGUUCCCUUAUCCCUGGCCGGAGGGAGCGAAAACUGUGCAAAGCAACUUAAAAAAAAAAAAAAGUCAUGAGAGCUUAAUAAAAAGCAGGUUUAUAAUGACAAGCAAAAGAUGAGCGUCCCUGACCCACAGGUUUCUCAGAAGGAGGACUCUGGGGAGAUGCUGCGGGCGACCGGGACCCGGGGUCCCCUCGCUUCUUGGCCUGCUGCGACGCGGGACAAGGAGAGCACGGAAACUACUCCAGUCAGCUAAGUCGCCUUCACCGAGAAGGGGACCUCACCCCUCUCUCCGCAAACCGUUUCCAGGCGUUCUCCUCUGGGCUCUAUGACGUGACUUAAAAGAUAGUCGGCUGAAGUUUUUCGUGAAGGUGUUUGAUGUACUACAUACCGCUGCUCAGAGAACGCCCUGACUUGGCUCUUUUGAAGGAGUCAACUAGGAAUCUUAGGUCAAUGGGGAUUUCAUCCAAAGUUUGCCAGUGUUAAGUAAGUUCAGUAUAGUUUUCUCCAGCUUUAAUUGAAUUUAUCAGUGAAACCAAUACAUAUGUUUUCCUGAAGUUCCUAUCAGCUGUUAAGAUCUGCUUUUUCUCAAACACUCAGGCUGUACAGGAAAUCAAUUCUUCGUUUAGUGUUGAUGCCUAAAUAAUGUUCCUGACUUUUCAUCUUUUCCACUGCAUGGUUGCUCCCUUUGGUCAGAGCUGAGGGUGCAGUCGUUGUUUUCCUACACGAGGUGGAGCUGAAGAGUACUGUGCUCUGAGACUUGUGACAGCAUAAAAAAAUUUAAAUGGAAGUUUGGGCAGGAGGUGGGGGUUUGUUUUGUUUUGUUUUUAGAGAACAGAAAUAGAGCACCGCCUCUGUUUUAUCAGCAAAUAAAAAUUAUGAAUGAAGGAAUGUAGCACACACCUUAUUGUUGGAAAUGAUGCAUUAUAGUCUAUCAGAGAGUUUAAACAGCUUGCAAAUGCAUUAAAGGAGUAAAUGGAUAACAAAAUUCUGGUAUUUCUCUUGUUUCCUCACUUUGUUUAUCAAAGCAAGGAAUUACGUCUUUCACAAAUUGAAAAGGGAUAGAAGAAUAUCUUAUUAUAAAGUGAUUUCCCCCUGUGCUUAGGAAAGCUAAAUUUAUAAUUAUGACCAAAUCCAGUUAUUUUGUCGAACCAAUGACAGCAAAAGAGUUGUAGAAGACUUUGGUAAAGUUUGGCAUGAAAAUGGUAUUAGAAAUAGCAAAAUAUUGUGCAAGCAAACUAGAAUGCAUCUCUACAGUUCCUAAAUAAGGUUGAAAAGGAACUGAGGAAUGGAAGUAGUUAAGUAUUUUUGUCUCAUUUAAAAUCGAACUAUGAAUUAGAGGACAGCUAAAAUAUUGCUGGAGUUGGUAGCAGGCUUUCUAGUUUGGGCAACACUAAAGAUGCAGAGUCUGUUUGAAAUAAAAUAUAAAACCAUCUGCUUUAUUGAUACUGUGUGUGUGUUAACAAGCACACUUCGGGAAAUAACCUGGCGCAAACAGAAACACGGUAAACAAGAACAUUAUGAAACAGCGUUUCAAAGAUAUUGAACGCUGCCAGAGAUUGGUAGUUUGUAUAUUUUUAAUGGUCAUUAAUAUGCUUUUCGUACAUAAUGCUUUUCCAAUUAGGUAAAUAAAAAUAUAAUUCAGUAAGUGUUUUCAAAAUUCAUGGCUAGCUUAGUGUAAUAACUAAUCUAACCGAUUUCAGUUGGGGAAAAGUUUACAUCCUAAUUCAAAACACAGCAACUAUUUGUUUCUCUGAUACAUGAUUCUUGAGCAUUACUUGGAAGAGAAUAUGCUAAGUGUAUUGGGGGAUAUUGGCCCACCAGGUACGAGCAGAUGAAAUAUCAAAUUUAAUUGCAGUAUUAUUCCCUCUAGAUUUACUUUACCAUACUUAAGUCUCCCUUGUGAAAGCAAAGUUAUUUUGGAUUUCCCUGGUGUUACAGUGGUAGUCAGGAUGGCCCAGUGGCAGUCAGGGUGGCCAAGUUGGAGUAGUAAAUGGCAACCCACUCCAGUAUCCUUGCCUGGAAUUUUCCAUGUACAGAGGAAUCUGGCGGGCUAUAGUCCAUGGGGUUGCAAACAGUUGGACAUGACUAAGCGACCGAGCGGUUAGGGGACGCUGGUUUGAUCCAGGGCAGCUAGGCCUGUGCACCACAACUAAUGAGCCCACACGCUGCAACUGCUGAAGUCCGUGUGCCUAGACCCUGUGCUCCACAAGAAGAGAAGCCACUGCAAUGAGAAGCAUAUGCACUGCAACUCGAGAGCAGCUCCUGCUCUUCACAACUAGAGAAAAGCCCGCACGGCAAAGAAGACCUAGCACAGCCAAAAUAAAUAAAUUGAUUUUUUUUUAAAGUAUCAGACAAGAGUGAUUCAGUGUCCGUCUCUCCUCCACCACCCAAUUACCGCCUCCACGGUGAAUGAUGACAAAGCUCUGGGGAAACUUCGCAAAGCUGGAUGAGGCAGAAUGCGGAAGAAGUAGUUGUGGACCACUGGCUCAGUCUGCUCUCCAGUCAGCAGAAUUCAUUUACUAGUUUCUAGUGGGCACAAGCAAGAUAUUUUGGCUCUCAAUUUUUUUACUUUGCUAAAACUCUUCAUUUAUUUCUGAAUUUUACAAUUAUGUAUACAGAAAAAAGUAUUCCAGUUCUUAAAACAGCGUCUUAUUUAUAACUUAGUGUUGUAACUAGGACUGUGGUACUAAAUCACUGAAAGACCAUUGUCCUUCAGAGAAUAGAUAUUAAGAUUUCCUUUCUUAAUAAAAGUCCUUUCUUUCCCACAAGCGAC
rnacentral:lncRNA from 1 species